rnacentral:lncRNA from 1 species
GGUUGCUGCGGUCUGUCCGUUGAUCUCUGACGUUUAAGAACCCUUUCCGUACCCACCGCUCCUCCCACCCAAGUGACCGGGCCUGCCUUUCCCCACGCUGGAACUUUGUUCCGACAGCACAGGCGUCGCCCCUCCCCACACAACGAGCGCCGUUUCAGGGGUGCGGAGGUGCUGCCUCCAGGAGAUGGAUACAGGCUGGAGCGUAAACAAAAUAUCGGCAGUCGCGUAAAUGCUUUGGAGUAAACAAGCAGCCUUUCAUGAUAGAAAAUAGCAGGAAAGACUAGACUGGUUUGGACCUCCUGCGUACAGACGGUUUAGUAGUGGUGGUGCCUAUCCCAACAUCCCCCUCUCUUCUCCCUUACCUGGAGUACCCAAGCCUGUUUUUGCUACAGUUGAUGGACAGGAAAAGUUUGAAACCAAAGUAACCACAUUGGAUAAUGGGCUUCGCGUGGCAUCUCAGAAUAAGUUUGGACAGUUUUGUACAGUAGGAAUUCUUAUCAAUUCAGGAUCGAGAUAUGAAGCGAAAUACCUUAGUGGAAUUGCUCACUUUUUGGAAAAAUUGGCAUUUUCGUCUACUGCUCGAUUUGACAGCAAAGAUGAAAUUCUGCUUACGUUGGAAAAGCAUGGGGGUAUCUGUGACUGCCAGACAUCAAGAGACACCACCAUGUAUGCUGUGUCUGCUGAUAGCAAAGGCUUGGACACGGUGGUUGCCUUACUGGCUGAUGUGGUUCUGCAGCCCCGGCUAACAGAUGAAGA